rnacentral:rRNA from 1 species
UACAGAGGGUGCAAGCGUUAAUCGGAAUUACUGGGCGUAAAGCGUGCGUAGUCGGUUAUCUAAGUCGGAUGUGAAAUCCCCGGGCUCAACCUGGGAAUUGCACUCGAAACUGAAUAGCUAGAGUUCGGCAGAGGGAAGUGGAAUUUCCGGUGUAGCGGUGAAAUGCGUAGAUAUCGGAAGGAACAUCAGUGGCGAAAGCGACUUCCUGGACCAGAACUGACGAUCAGGCACGAAAGCGUGGGGAGCAAACAGG